rnacentral:pre_miRNA from 1 species
GAAAUACUCCCUCCGUUCCAAAUUACUCGUCGCUGAAAUGGAUGUAUCUAGAACUAAAACACAUCUAGAUACAUCCAUACGUGCGACAAGUAAUUCGGAACGGAGGGAGUAUAUG